rnacentral:rRNA from 1 species
UACGUAGGGUGCAAGCGUUGUCCGGAAUUAUUGGGCGUAAAGAGCUCGUAGGCGGUUUGUCGCGUCUGCUGUGAAAACUGGGGGCUCAACCCCCAGCCUGCAGUGGGUACGGGCAGACUAGAGUGCGGUAGGGGAGAUUGGAAUUCCUGGUGUAGCGGUGGAAUGCGCAGAUAUCAGGAGGAACACCGAUGGCGAAGGCAGAUCUCUGGGCCGUAACUGACGCUGAGACACGAAAGCGUGGGUAGCAAACAGG